UACGAAGGGUGCAAGCGUUACUCGGAAUUACUGGGCGCAAAGCGUGCGUAGGUGGUUCGUUAAGUCUGCUGUGAAAGCCCCGGGCUCAACCUGGGAAUGGCAGUGGAUACUGGCGAGCUAGAGUGCGGUAGAGGGUAGUGGAAUUCCCGGUGUAGCGGUGAAAUGCGUAGAGAUCGGGAGGAACACCAGUGGCGAAGGCGGCUACCUGGACCAGCACUGACACUCAGGCACGAAAGCGUGGGGAGCGAACAGG
rnacentral:rRNA from 1 species